rnacentral:lncRNA from 12 species
UUUUGUUGAAGGAAAAUAUGUCUUUUUCAGGGAAGAGUGAAAUAUCAGGAGUGGUGUGCAGGAAGAGUUGGUGUGCAGUGAGUUCCCAGUCCCGCUCACUAACUUCCCAGUGGCUUCCUCUGCAGACAUACAUCCAGAAUUCACAGGGCUGAGGUGAUCCCUCUGAAGCACUGGUGGGGGCUGCAUCAACAGGAGGUGUCACAGAAGAGCUGUUUGCUUCCUGCUCCUUCUCCUUCCUUGUGAUGAAGGAGCCUUCUCACUUCCACAGUGGGAAAACUGUUUCAG